AUUGAACGCUGGCGGCAUGCCUAACACAUGCAAGUCGAGCGAGAGGCGGAGGGGUGGGUAAUGUCUGGGAACCUGCCUGACGGAGGGGGAAAACGACUGGAACCGGUGGCCAAUACCGCAUACAAUCGGUUGUGCCUGUAUGGGAUUAGUUAGUCGGUGGGGUAAAGGCUCACCUAGGCGACGAUCCCUAGCUGGUCUGAGAGGAUGACCAGCCACACUGGAACUGAGACACGGUCCAGACUCCUACGGGAGGCAGCAGUGGGGAAUAUUGCACAAUGGGCGAAAGCCUGAUGCAGCCAUGCCGCGUGUGUGAAGAAGGCCUUCGGGUUGUAAAGCACUUUCGGCGAGGAGGCGUUACUCGCAGAAGAAGCACCGGCUAACUACGUGCCAGCAGCCGCGGUAAUAC
rnacentral:rRNA from 1 species